rnacentral:rRNA from 1 species
AUUCCAGCUCUGUAAGCGUAUACCAAAGUUGUUGCAGUUAAAACGCUCGUAGUCGAACCUUGGCGUGAGUUACGGAGGCUCCUAAUGGACGUCGAAGUAACUCCGCCUUUGUGGAGGGGGGUGUGGUGUUACUUCAUUGUAUUGCCGCAUUUCCGCCACUGUUUACUGUGAAAAAAUUAGAGUGUUCAAAGCGAGCGUUUGCCAUGAAUACAUUAGCAUGGAAUAAUAGAAUAGGACCUGGUCCUGUUUUAUUGGUUUGUCAGUAUCAGGUAAUGAUUAACAGGGACGGUCGGGGGCAUUUGUAUUCCAGCGUUAGAGGUGAAAUUCUUGGAUCGCUGGAAGACAAACAGCUGCGAAAGCGUCUGCCAAGGACGUUUUCAUCG